rnacentral:rRNA from 1 species
UACGUAGGGCGCAAGCGUUGUCCGGAAUUAUUGGGCGUAAAGAGCUCGUAGGCGGCCUGUUACGUCUGCUGUGAAAUCCCGGGGCUUAACCCCGGGCGUGCAGUGGAUACGGGCAGGCUGGAGGCAGGCAGGGGAGAACGGAAUUCCCGGUGUAGCGGUGGAAUGCGCAGAUAUCAGGAGGAACACCGGUGGCGAAGGCGGGUCUCUGGGCAGUAACUGACGCUGAGGAGCGAAAGCGUGGGGAGCGAACAGG